GCGGGCGAGGUUGCUUCGGUAACUGAGCUAGCGGCGGACGGGUGAGUAAUGCUUAGGAAUCUGCCUAUUAGUGGGGGACAACAUUCCGAAAGGAAUGCUAAUACCGCAUACGCCCUACGGGGGAAAGCAGGGGAUCUUCGGACCUUGCGCUAAUAGAUGAGCCUAAGUCAGAUUAACUAGUUGGUGGGGUAAAGGCCUACCAAGGCGACGAUCUGUAGCGGGUCUGAGAGGAUGAUCCGCCACACUGGGACUGAGACACGGCCCAGACUCCUACGGGAGGCAGCAGUGGGGAAUAUUGGACAAUGGGCGCAAGCCUGAUCCAGCCAUGCCGCGUGUGUGAAGAAGGCCUUUUGGUUGUAAAGCACUUUAAGCGAGGAGGAGGCUACUUGGAUUAAUACUCUAGGAUAGUGGACGUUACUCGCAGAAUAAGCACCGGCUAACUCUGUGCCAGCAGCCGCGGUAAUACAGAGGGUGCGAGCGUUAAUCGGAUUUACUGGGCGUAAAGCGUGCGUAGGCGGCUUUUUAAGUCGGAUGUGAAAUCCCUGAGCUUAACUUAGGAAUUGCAUUCGAUACUGGGAAGCUAGAGUAUGGGAGAGGAUGGUAGAAUUCCAGGUGUAGCGGUGAAAUGCGUAGAGAUCUGGAGGAAUACCGAUGGCGAAGGCAGCCAUCUGGCCUAAUACUGACGCUGAGGUACGAAGCAUGGGGAGCAAACAGGAUUAGAUACCCUGGUAGUCCAUGCCGUAAACGAUGUCUA
rnacentral:rRNA from 1 species